UACAGAGGGUGCAAGCGUUAAUCGGAAUUACUGGGCGUAAAGCGCACGUAGGCGGUUUUUUAAGUCAGAUGUGAAAGCCCCGGGCUCAACCUGGGAAUUGCAUUUGAAACUGGGAAACUAGAGUGUGUGAGAGGGGGGUAGAAUUCCAAGUGUAGCGGUGAAAUGCGUAGAGAUUUGGAGGAAUACCAGUGGCGAAGGCGGCCCCCUGGCACAAUACUGACGCUCAUGCACGAAAGCGUGGGGAGCAAACAGG
rnacentral:rRNA from 1 species